AUUGAACGCUGGCGGCAGGCCUAACACAUGCAAGUCGAGCGGCAGCGGAAAGUAGCUUGCUACUUUGCCGGCGAGCGGCGGACGGGUGAGUAAUGUCUGGGAAACUGCCUGAUGGAGGGGGAUAACUACUGGAAACGGUAGCUAAUACCGCAUAACGUCGCAAGACCAAAGAGGGGGACCUUCUGGCCUCUUGCCAUCAGAUGUGCCCAGAUGGGAUUAGCUAGUAGGUGGGGUAACGGCUCACCUAGGCGACGAUCCCUAGCUGGUCUGAGAGGAUGACCAGCCACACUGGAACUGAGACACGGUCCAGACUCCUACGGGAGGCAGCAGUGGGGAAUAUUGCACAAUGGGCGCAAGCCUGAUGCAGCCAUGCCGCGUGUAUGAAGAAGGCCUUCGGGUUGUAAAGUACUUUCAGCGGGGAGGAAGGUGUUGAGGUUAAUAACCUCAGCAAUUGACGUUACCCGAAGAAGAAGCACCGGCUAACUCCGUG
rnacentral:rRNA from 1 species